rnacentral:rRNA from 1 species
UACAGAGGUCUCAAGCGUUGUUCGGAUUCAUUGGGCGUAAAGGGUGCGUAGGCGGCGCGGUAAGUCGGGUGUGAAAUCUUGGAGCUUAACUCCGAAACUGCAUUCGAUACUGCCGUGCUUGAGGACUGGAGAGGAGACUGGAAUUUACGGUGUAGCGGUGAAAUGCGUAGAUAUCGUAAGGAAGACCAGUGGCGAAGGCGGCGCUCUGGACCGGUACUGACGCUGAGGAGCGAAAGCGUGGGGAGCGAACAGG